CCUACGGGUGGCAGCAGUGAGGAAUAUUGGUCAAUGGACGAGAGUCUGAACCAGCCAAGUAGCGUGAAGGAUGACUGCCCUAUGGGUUGUAAACUUCUUUUAUAUGGGAAUAAAAUGUUCCACGUGUGGGAUUUUGUAUGUACCAUAUGAAUAAGGAUCGGCUAACUCCGUGCCAGCAGCCGCGGUAAUACGGAGGAUCCGAGCGUUAUCCGGAUUUAUUGGGUUUAAAGGGAGCGUAGGUGGAUUGUUAAGUCAGCUGUGAAAGUUUGAGGCUCAACCGUAAAAUUGCAGUUGAAACUGGCAGUCGUGAGUACAGUAGAGGUGGGCGGAAUGCGUGGUGUAGCGGUGAAAUGCUUAGAUAUCACGAAGAACUCCGAUUGCGAAGGCAGCUCACUGGACUGCAACUGACACUGAGGCUCGAAAAUGUGGGUAUCAAACAGGAUUAGAGACCCCUGUAGUC
rnacentral:rRNA from 1 species